UAUAGAUGAAAGUAGAGAAAAACGGUGGGCAGGGGCAGGGAGAGGAAAGGCCAGACAAAUGCAAUCAUUUCUCCAAAGGAUUUGAGAAGAGAUCAUUUAUUUGAAAUAUUCCUGCCAUGUUGAUGGAGCAGCUCAAUCUUUUGCCAGUGAAUCUUUAGCGUUUUGUUUUUCAUUUGUAGAUAUGGUUGAACAUAUACUUAGGACACGUAAUAACUAUGGAACUUCAUCACAAACACAGCACUGAGGACAUGUUCUGAAUACAGACAAUAUGGAGGCCUCAGGCUCAGAGGAUGGCAGAGUCUUCAGAUGGAUGGAGGGAGCUGCAGUCACUGAACCACUGCAGGGAGAGAAGUACUCACAGACCAGGAACGCUCAACUUGGACUGUUAUGUGACAGAAAGGAGACAUGCAUACAAGGAGAAUGCCAGGUGAACGUGAAGACCAUCAUUUGCAAGCCAAGAGAGGCCUGGAGCAGAUCCUUCAGAGCCCUCAGAAGGGACCAACCCUGCUGGCACCUUGAUUUUGGACUUCCAGCCUCCAGAACUAAGAACUUGAUGUAUACCUCCUGACCUGUUCAUCUUGUAGCUGCCUCUUGACAGCACAUGUUGGCACCUUUAGAAAGAUCUAGAAAUCCACGUGUUGUACGUAAAUCUGGGGCUGUUGUUACUGCAGAUGUACCUUCCACAACUUGAUUUUCUGUGAUGUCAAUUAUUCAGGUUGGAAUCUCUGCAUUUGCAGAAUGUGAUCUCUUACAAUGAUGACUGCAUCUCUGCAGGCUGCAGAGGCCCGGGGACACAUGCUUUCCUCUACUUGUAGAAGGAGGCACCAGACACCUCUUACCCUGGAGUUCUUUUCUCUAGAAGAUAGCCUAUACAGUGGGACAUGGCGUCUUCAACCUCCUGACUCUAAUCACCUUUGAAGAUAAGCAUCCAAUCCCUUUACA
rnacentral:lncRNA from 1 species